rnacentral:lncRNA from 1 species
UGCUCUGAAGUCACAGGCCUGACUUCCAGACUAGGCUCUGCCCCUAAGGAAAUCACCUUUCUGGUCUUAGUCUCCCCAUCUGAAAAUGGCAUAACCAACCUACCUGCCUCAAAUACAAGACCCUGCUUGUGAAGGUGAGCUAUUUAGGAGACUACCAUCUUUCCUUUGAACUCCAACAGCUCUUUAUGCGUCCCCCUCCUGGGACACAUCUCACUGACUUAUCUCCCCAUUAGUCAGUGAGGAGCAAUUGGAAAGGCGGGUUCUGGGUCCAGUUCAGAGCAGGCCUCCUGACCCCUAGGGCUGAGAAGCUGAGACCCUGCCAGAGCACUGAGGCUAUGGGCCAGCCCAGGUCGGUGCAUUCAUUCCCAUUCGCUCAUCUCCUUCCCGGCGUUCUGCUCUGAGCCCAUCACCAGAGGCAAGGGAGUUUCUAGCUUGAGGAUCAGACGUCAUCCUCCGCAGACUGCCUUCCCCACCUCAUCUGCACCCAGCGUAUCCCAGACCCUGGCCAGCUCCACGGGCGCCACAGAGGUGGAGAGGGACCCAACCCCGACUGGCCAAGGCAGGGCCACGGAAGUCUGGGGAGACCGUGCGGCCGCGGGCUGGCGGCGGAGGAGCGAGGCGCUGACGCCGAUUCCCGGGAAAGGCUCUUAGAGCUGCCGCCCAGGUCACAACGCUAAAAAUACCCAGGGCCCCUGGAGCCUGUGCUCCAGCAGCGAGGAGGGGGAGGGAGAGGCCAAGGUGGGGGAGCUGACGGGGGCCAGGGGCUCUGGGACACCCCCUCUCUUUUCCCCUCCCCCUAACCCCACCGAUCUCACGAGACUGAAGGAGCUGUCCCCCGGGGGGCCGCGGAGCCCAGAGCUGGAGAAAGGGAGUUGUUUACGCGACCUAUAGGUACUGGAAAGGGGGUGAAGAGAUUUGGGGGCAGGAGGCUGCCAGGGGCCGGGCAGGAGCCAGCGAAAUGGAGAACUCCCUCUCGGUCUCAGCCCCACCCGCACUGGAGCCAGCAAGAGGGAAAAAAUUCCCUAAAAAGGGACACGAGGCGUCGGCGGAGGACGGGGGGAGGGCGCUCCCCCAAGGCCGUUCCCCUCGUGCUCCGGUCCCCUCCGCGGUCCACCGCGGCACCUGCGCCCACCGCCGCCGGAGCCCCUACCUGCAGCGCUGGCGCCCCCUCUGACUCAGUCCGUCCGCUCCAGCGAGGCGGAAGUGGGGGAGGGGCGGUGGCGGGCUCACUCGCUCGCA